ACCUCCCGGCAGCCUUGCCAGGCCCAGAACUCUCUCCAGUCAGCCUCUACAGACCAAGCUCAUGACUCACAAUGGCCUAUUUAGGCCCAUAGCCUACCUCACGGCAGUCUCCGCAGAUGAGCCUACUGCCUCACAACAGCCUCCACAGGCACAGCUCCAUCGUUCCAAUGGCCUCUUUAGACCCAGCUCCUGCCUCCCAGCCUUGUCUCCAGGCCCUGAACUUUCUCCGGUCUCCCUCUGUUGUCCAAGGCUGGAGGGUAGUAGUGCUAUCGCAGCUGACUGCAGCCUCAACCUUCCAGGCUGAAGCGAUCCUCCCAUCUCAACCUCCCACGUGGCUGAGACUACAGGUGCUUGCCACUACGCCCAACUAAUAUUUGGUUUUUUCAUAUACGUGGAUUCCAGAGGGGUGACAGCGAAACGUGGGACCAUCCAGUUUCAGGAAAACAAGCUUAACACGCCCACUGAUUCUACAUUAUGCUCCUACCUCCCGGCAGCCUCGCCAGGCCCAGAACUCUCUCCAGUCAGCCUCUACAGACCAAGCUCAUGACUCACAAUGGCCUAUUUAGGCCCAUACCCUACCUCACGGCAGUCUCCGCAGAUGAGCCUACUGCCUCACAACAGCCUCCACAGGCACAGCUCCAUCGUUACAAUGGCCUCUUUAGACCCAGCUCCUGCCGCCCAGCCUUCUCUCUAGGCCCUGAAGUUUCUCCGUGGGACCAUCCAGUUUCAGGAAAACAAGCUUAACACGCCCACUGAUUCUACAUUAUGCUCCUACCUCCCGGCAGCCUCGCCAGGCCCAGAACUCUCUCCAGUCAGCCUCUACAGACCAAGCUCAUGACUCACAAUGGCCUAUUUAGGCCCAUACCCUACCUCACGGCAGUCUCCGCAGAUGAGCCUACUGCCUCACAACAGCCUCCACAGGCACAGCUCCAUCGUUCCAAUGGCCUCUUUAGACCCAGCUCCUGCCGCCCAGCCUUCUCUCUAGGCCCUGAAGUUUCUCCGUGGGACCAUCCAGUUUCAGGAAAACAAGCUUAACACGCCCACUGAUUCUACAUUAUGCUCCUACCUCCCGGCAGCCUCGCCAGGCCCAGAACUCUCUCCAGUCAGCCUCUACAGACCAAGCUCAUGACUCACAAUGGCCUAUUUAGGCCCAUACCCUACCUCACGGCAGUCUCCGCAGAUGAGCCUACUGCCUCACAACAGCCUCCACAGGCACAGCUCCAUCGUUCCAAUGGCCUCUUUAGACCCAGCUCCUGCCGCCCAGCCUUCUCUCUAGGCCCUGAAGUUUCUCCGUAAGUUGAGGUAGCUGGGACUGUAGGUAUACAUGACGAUACUUGGCUAAUUUUU